rnacentral:rRNA from 1 species
AACGAACGCUGGCGGCAUGCCUAACACAUGCAAGUCGAACGAAGGCUUCGGCCUUAGUGGCGCACGGGUGCGUAACGCGUGGGAAUCUGCCCCUUGCUUCGGAAUAACAGUUAGAAAUGACUGCUAAUACCGGAUGAUGUCGCAAGACCAAAGAUUUAUCGGCAAAGGAUGAGCCCGCGUAGGAUUAGCUAGUUGGUGGGGUAAAGGCCUACCAAGGCGACGAUCCUUAGCUGGUCUGAGAGGAUGAUCAGCCACACUGGGACUGAGACACGGCCCAGACUCCUACGGGAGGCAGCAGUGGGGAAUAUUGGACAAUGGGCGAAAGCCUGAUCCAGCAAUGCCGCGUGAGUGAUGAAGGCCUUAGGGUUGUAAAGCUCUUUUACCCGGGAUGAUAAUGACAGUACCGGGAGAAUAAGCUCCGGCUAACUCCGUG